AAUCCAGUGUGUCCACCUGUUCUCCAGUACCUGCAUACACUCACACACACACUCUAAUGGAGGAUAACAGCUGACAGUGCCAGGAGAGAUAAACAACAAAAUAUGACCCCAGGGUCAUAACAGAUGUUGUAACGUUAGUUUCCAACCGCACCAACUGACAGCAACUGUCUCCUUUUUAGGUUCAAUCUUUUCUUCACCCCUGGCUGAGAGCCCGGGAUUAUAGGAGGCUGUACGGAAGAACCAAGCUGCUAGCAGCGCAUCGGACAAUGAAAUUAACCAGCACGCCAUCCGCUGGUUCAACCUGGCCUCUGACCGUGGAGGUGGCUGCAAAGAACGUGCCAUGGCCAGAGAGGCAUUAACCAUGAAAUGACACAUCGGCCAUCCCCCAUUCUUCCACUACUGAUGAUUUGUUGGGUGUCAUGUGAGGGUUAUGGCAUUCCCACUUCUCCACUUGCCUCAUCAAUGUUUCCCGUAAAGCCACCAAACAAUGUGUAUGAACAUUUUACAUUUUUUUUCAGGGUUUCACAUGACUAGUUGGAGUUGGAUAUUGUAUUUUGGCUAUAAAAUCUUUGUUAUUUAUACCAGGGUCAUGGAAAAUGGUUAAAAUAUAAAUGGCUGGCAGUAAUCAUCUAUCAAGACAAACUUAUUGCUUGUCGCUAAUUAAAACGUUAUCUUGUGUGUUUAGGCCAUAGAAUCUCGUGUGUCUCCUGGCUUUAGCUUUAUAUGUUUCUCAGGGAGAAAGAAAUCUUACUUUCUUACCAUCAUUAUUAAUGGUACACUACACUAUGCAAGACUGAUAGCAAUGUCACUGUAUUAUUUAUACUAGAAACUAAUUGUCACCUGCAAGUCAACUGGAGUGAAGUUUCUUGUUCCUACAGUUGUUAAAGACAGAAAUGAGCUGUAAAAUGUGUUUAUUAGAUUGAUUGUUAGUUUGGCAAUUAUCUACUUUGUUUUAAGUUUCUGUCCUCUCUUUAUCUCAAACAUUUCAAAUAAAAUUUAAAAUGUGUCACUCA